rnacentral:rRNA from 1 species
UACGAAGGGGGCAAGCGUUGUUCGGAAUUACUGGGCGUAAAGGGCGCGUAGGCGGCUUAUCAAGUCAGGCGUGAAAUUCCCGGGCUCAACCUGGGGGCUGCGCUUGAUACUGAUUGGCUUGAAUGCGGGAGAGGAUAGUGGAAUUCCCAGUGUAGUGGUGAAAUACGUAGAGAUUGGGAAGAACACCAGUGGCGAAGGCGGCUAUCUGGACGGUUUCUGACACUAAGACUCGAAAGCGUGGGGAGCAAAUAGG